AAUCAACGCUGGCGGCGUGCCUCAGACAUGCAAGUCGAACGAGAAAGUUCCCUUCGGGGAAUGAGUAAAGUGGCGCACGGGUGAGUAACACGUAGGUAAUCUACCUUCGGGUGGGGAAUAACCCAGGGAAACUUGGGCUAACACCGCAUAAUGCAGCGGCACCACAUGGUGACAGUUGUUAAAGCGGGGGAGUUUUAGGACCUCGCGCCUGAAGAGGAGCCUGCGGCGGAUUAGCUUGUUGGUAAGGUAACGGCUUACCAAGGCGACGAUCCGUAGCCGGCCUGAGAGGGGCGGUCGGCCACACUGACACUGACAUACGGGUCAGACUCC
rnacentral:rRNA from 1 species